rnacentral:rRNA from 1 species
ACGCACGCUGGCGGCGUGCUUAACCCAUGCCAGUCGCACGCUGAAGCUUGGUGCUUGCACUGGGUGGAUGAGUGGCGAACGGGUGAGUAAUACGUGAGUAACCUGCCCUUGACUCUGGGAUAAGCCUGGGAAACUGGGUCUAAUACUGGAUACGACAUGUCACCGCAUGGUGGUGUGUGGAAAGGGUUUUACUGGUUUUGGAUGGGCUCACGGCCUAUCAGCUUGUUGGUGGGGUAAUGGCUCACCAAGGCGACGACGGGUAGCCGGCCUGAGAGGGUGACCGGCCACACUGGGACUGAGACACGGCCCAGACUCCUACGGGAGGCAGCAGUGGGGAAUAUUGCACAAUGGGCGGAAGCCUGAUGCAGCGACGCCGCGUGAGGGAUGACGGCCUUCGGGUUGUAAACCUCUUUCAGCACGGAAGAAGCGAAAGUGACGGUACGUGCAGAAGAAGCGCCGGCUAACUACGUG